rnacentral:rRNA from 1 species
GAUGAACGCUGGCGGCGUGCCUAAUACAUGCAAGUCGAGCGAACAGACGAGGAUCUUGCUCUUCUGAAGUUACCGGCGGACGGGUGAGUCACACGUGGAUAACCUACCUAUAAGACUUGGAUAACUUCGGGAAACCGGAGCAAAUACCGGAUAAUAUAUUGAACCGCAUGGUUCAAUAGUGAAAGACGGUUUUGGUUUAACUUAUAGACGGAUACGCGCCGCAUUAGCUAGUUGGUAAGGUAACGGGCUACCAAGGGAACGAAGGGUAGCCGACCCGGGAGGGUGAUCGGCCACCCGGGAACGGAGACAUGGUCCAUGCUCCUACGGGAGGCAGCAGUAGGGAAUCUUACGCAAUGGGCGGAAGCCUUACGGAGCAACGCCGCGUGAGAGAUGAAGGUCUUCGGAUCGUAAUGCUCUGUUAUUAGGGAAGAACAAAUGUGUAAGUAACUAUGCACGUCUUGACGGUACCUAAACAGAAAGCCACGGCUAACUACGUG